rnacentral:rRNA from 1 species
CAGNCUUUACAUGGCAGGACGGUUUCCAGAGAUGGAUUCUUUCACUUCGGUUGCNUGCAACAGGUGCUGCAUGGCUGUCGUCAGCUCGUNUCGUGAGAUGNUGGGUUAAGUCCCGCAACGAGCGCAACCUUCGCCUUNAGUUGCCAUCAUNUAGUUGGCACUCUAGAGGGACUGCCGGUGAUAAGCCGAGGAAGGUGGGGAUGACGUCAAGUCUUCAUGGCCCNUACGGGCUGGGCUACACACGUGCUACAAUGGCGGUGACAAAGGCAGCUAGUCCGCGAGGACAUGCUAAUCCCAAAAAGCCGUCUCAGUUCGGAUUGCACUNUGCAACUCGAGUGCAUGAAGUUGGAAUCGCUAGUAAUCGUAGAUCAGCACGCUACGGUGAAUACGUUCCCGGGCCUUGUACACACCGCCCGUCACACCAUGGGAGUUGGUUCNACCCGAAGCCGGUGCGCUAACCGCAAGGAAGCAGCCGACCACGGUAGGGUCAGCGACUGGGGUG